UCCAAGAAGGUCAGGUCACAGGGGAAGGGUGCUGGCGUCAAAGCUCAGUGACAGAGAGCACUGCAGGCACAGCUGGUACUUGACUCAGCCCAUCCUACUCCAAUCUUCUUCCCGCUUGGUCAUUUUGCGUCUUAGCCUCUCUCAGUCUCUGUUUCCACAUCGGCUAAAAAACAGGUCCCAAACUGACAUACAAUGAGAUGGUGACCCUCUCCAGUGAAGAGAAAACCAGAAAGACUGCAAAGGGACUGACUCAUUUACCAUUUUAUCCUCUGUGCCCAGUAGAAUGAACAGGACAUCCAUGCGCCACAGUCUGCAGAGAAGAAUAAUGAAUAGAGACCACAAUGCCAUCCCCCAAGACAUGGGUUCCCAUCUGGUCCCAGGGAGCAAGCCAGCCAGGUCACCAAUUUGGAGAGACCCUAAGACCUCUCCAGAUCUACCAGUUACUUCCAGGCCCCUUUUUAAAAGCCUAGCAUGCAGUGAUACCAGGAAGAAGGAAGAGGAGGAACCAUCAUGCCACCACAAGGGUGAAAACCACAGUUUAGAAAUGAUGGUGCAAAAUGAGACACUGAUUUCAUGAUGAUUUUGUAGAGACAUUAACUAGGACUGAACUUCCCACCUAAGACUUCUUGUUAUAUAUAAGAAAUAAACUCCUC